CGAAAGCCUGACGGAGCAAGACCGCGUGAGGGAGGAAGGCUCUUGGGUUGUAAACCUCUUUUCUCAGGGAAGAAGCUCUGACGGUACCUGAGGAAUCAGCCUCGGCUAACUCCGUGCCAGCAGCCGCGGUAAUACGGAGGAUGCAAGCGUUAUCCGGAAUUAUUGGGCGUAAAGCGUCCGCAGGCGGCUUUUCAAGUCUGCUGUUAAAGGUCGGGGCUUAACUCCGGUGCGGCAGUGGAAACUGAGAAGCUAGAGUGUGGUAGGGGUAGAGGGAAUUCCCAGUGUAGCGGUGAAAUGCGUAGAGAUCGGGAAGAACAUCGGUGGCGAAAGCGCUCUACUGGACGGCAACUGACACUCAGGGACGAAAGCUAGGGGAGCG
rnacentral:rRNA from 1 species